rnacentral:rRNA from 1 species
UAGGGAAUAUUGGGCAAUGGAGGCAACUCUGACCCAGCCAUGCCGCGUGCAGGAAGACGGUCCUCUGGAUUGUAAACUGCUUUUGAAUGGGAAGAAACGCACUUUUGCGAAAGUGUUUGACGGUACUAUUAGAAUAAGCACCGGCUAACUCCGUG